GGUUGUCGAGUAAGUUGUUCCCAUCGUUUACUGUGAAAAAAUUAGAGUGUUCAAAGCAGGCUUAUGCCAUUGAAUAUAUUAGCAUGGAAUAAUAAGAUAGGACCUUGGUACUAUUUUGUUGGUUUGCGCACCAGGGUAAUGAUUAAUAGGGACAGUUGGGGGUAUUCGUAUUCAA
rnacentral:rRNA from 1 species